GCAAGCGUUAUCCGGAAUCAUUGGGCGUAAAGCGCCUGUAGGUUGUUUAAUAAGUCCGUUGUUAAAGACUAGGGCUUAACCCUAGGAAAGCGAUGGAAACUGAUAGACUUGAGUAUGGCAGGGGUAGAGGGAAUUUCUAGUGUAGCGGUGAAAUGCGUAGAUAUUAGAAAGAACACCGGUGGCGAAAGCGCUCUACUGGACCAUUACUGACACUGAGAGGCGAAAGCUAGGGGAGCGAAAGGGAUUAGAUACCCCUGUAGUCCUAGCCGUAAACGAUGGAUACUAGAUGUUGUGCAAUUUGGACAGUAUCGUAGCUAACGCGUUAAGUAUCCCGCCUGGGGAGUACGCUCGCAAGGGUGAAACUCAAAGGAAUUGACGGGGGCCCGCACAAGCGGUGGAGCAUGUGGUUUAAUUCGAUGCAACGCGAAGAACCUUACCAGGGCUUGACAUACUACAGAUCUUUUUGAGAAAGAAGAGUGCCUUCGGGAAUGUAGAUACAGGUGGUGCAUGGCUGUCGUCAGCUCGUGUCGUGAGAUGUUGGGUUAAGUCCCGCAACGAGCGCAACCCUCGUUUUUAGUUGCCAAUUUAUUGGGAUCUCUAGAAAGACUGCCGGUGACAAACCGGAGGAAGGUGAGGAUGACGUCAAGUCAGCAUGCCCCUUAUGUCCUGGGCCACACACGUGCUACAAUGGUAAAGACAAAGAGUCGCCAAUUCGCGAGAAUGAGCUAAUCUCAUAAACUUUAUCUAAGUUCGGA
rnacentral:rRNA from 1 species